rnacentral:rRNA from 1 species
UUCGCAAUGCCCGAAAGGGUGACGAUACGACGCCGCGUGAGCGAAGAAGGCCCUAGGGUUGUAAAGCUCUGUCGAGGGUUAUGAAAUAUAGAUGGGUUAAUACCCCAUUUAUUUGACAAAAGCCCAAAAGGAAGCCACGGCUAACUCUGUGCCAGCAGCCGCGGUAAUACAGAGGUGGCGAGCGUUGUUCGGUAUUAUUGGGCGUAAAGAGCACGUAGGUGGUUUUGUAAGUCAGGUGUGAAAGCCUUCUGUUCAAAGGAAGAACGGCAUCUGAAACUGCAGAUCUUGAGUGUAGGAGGGGAGAGUGGAACUUCUGGUGGAGCGGUGAAAUGCGUAGAUAUCAGAAGGAACGUCGGCGGCGAAAGCGACUCUCUGGCCUAUUACUGACACUGAGUGUGCGAAAGUUAGGGGAGCAAACGGGAUUAGAUGCCCCGGUAGUCCUAACCGUAAACGAUGGGCACUAAGUAGAGGGGUUUU